rnacentral:rRNA from 1 species
GAUGAACGCUGGCGGCGUGCUUAACACAUGCAAGUCGAACGGAAAGGCUCCUGCUUGCAGGGGUACUCGAGUGGCGAACGGGUGAGUAACACGUGGGUGAUCUGCCCUGCACUUCGGGAUAAGCCUGGGAAACUGGGUCUAAUACCGGAUAGGACGAUGGUUUGGAUGCCAUUGUGGAAAGUUUUUUCGGUUUGGGAUGGGCUCGCGGCCUAUCAGCUUGUUGGUGGGGUAAUGGCCUACCAAGGCGUCGACGGGUAGCCGGCCUGAGAGGGUGUACGGCCACAUUGGGACUGAGAUACGGCCCAGACUCCUACGGGAGGCAGCAGUGGGGAAUAUUGCACAAUGGGCGCAAGCCUGAUGCAGCGACGCCGCGUGGGGGAUGACGGCCUUCGGGUUGUAAACUCCUUUCGCUAGGGACGAAGCGCAAGUGACGGUACCUGGAGAAGAAGCACCGGCUAACUACGUG